rnacentral:rRNA from 1 species
AGUGAACGCUGGCGGUAGGCCUAACACAUGCAAGUCGAACGGCAGCACAGUAAGAGCUUGCUCUUACGGGUGGCGAGUGGCGGACGGGUGAGGAAUACAUCGGAAUCUACUUUUUCGUGGGGGAUAACGUAGGGAAACUUACGCUAAUACCGCAUCCGACCUACGGGUGAAAGCAGUGGAUCUUCGGACCUUGCGCGAUUGAAUGAGCCGAUGUCGGAUUAGCUAGUUGGCGGGGUAAAGGCCCACCAAGGCGACGAUCCGUAGCUGGUCUGAGAGGAUGAUCAGCCACACUGGAACUGAGACACGGUCCAGACUCCUACGGGAGGCAGCAGUGGGGAAUAUUGGACAAUGGGCGCGAGCCUGAUCCAGCCAUACCGCGUGGGUGAAGAAGGCCUUCGGGUUGUAAAGCCCUUUUGUUGGGAAAGAAAAGCAGCAGGUUAAGACCCCGCUGUUCUGACGGUACCCAAAGAAUAAGCACCGGCUAACUUCGUG